CAAAUACUUCCGGUGAAAAAACAACAACGUAGAACGUUUGAAAUGCAUCGAAAAUUUGCUUAAUUUAAUUAAUUUGUUAAAUCUUAAAUACUAGUUAAUCUAAAAUCCUAAAUUAUUAGUGCUAUUACUAGUAGGCUAGAAAGUGUAUCUGGAAGGCAGCUCAACGAUUCAUUUCUAUACUCAAUUAGUUUGGUGAAGGUCGAGCCAGCGAGUCGCGAGCUAUUAUCGAAUUAAAUCCGGGUACGAAUUCAUUAAGACCCAUAAACGAAAUUUUUAAUACUGGGAAUAAAGGUAUUUAAAAGUUACGGAAACUUCUUUAUUGUUGCUGGAAGCAACA